AUUGAACGCUGGCGGCAGGCCUAACACAUGCAAGUCGAGCGAGCGGCGGUCGGGUGAGUAAUGUCUGGGAAACUGUCUGAUGGAGGGGGAUAACUACUGGAAACGGUAGCUAAUACCGCAUACCAUCAGAUGUGCCCAGAUGGGUUUAGCUAGUAGGUGGGGUAACGGAUCACCUAGGCGACGACCCCUAGCUGGUCUGAGAGGAUGACCAACGACACUAGAACUGAGACGCGGUCCAGACUCCUACGGGAGGCAGCAGUGGGGAAGAUUGCACAAUGGGCGCAAGCCUGAUGCAGCCAUGCCGCGUGUGUGAUGAAGGCCUGCGGGUGGUAGAGCACUUUCAGCGGGGAGGCGUUACCCGCAGAAGAAGCACCGGCUAGCUCCGUGCCAGCAGCCGCGGUAAUUC
rnacentral:rRNA from 1 species